GCCUCUGGGAGCAGCGCGGGCACGGCGUUCCCGGACACGACGGAGAUGAGCGCCGGAGGAGGAGUGAGGCGCCGGUGCCCAGGCGUUGGAGUGCAGCUCCGUCUGUAGCCUCGCCCACCUCUCCUCCUGAUCCUCGACCUCUGCGUCCACUUCCGCCUCCACCACCUCGGACAUCUCGCCGCACUCCUCGCGACACCAACUGGGUGCCACGUCGUCGCAGGGCAGAGCCACAGCCGCCUCCACCAAGCUCCCGCCAUGGCGCCGAGGCUCGAGUGCGGGGGGUUCCACCUCCCGAAGGUCAGCUCGACGCCGGUGAAGAAGGGCAUCGGCGCCAAGAACCCGCGGAGUCGCACGGGGUGGACCGCGUGCGGGUGCCCGGCGCACCCGAGAAGCGGGACUUGAGGUGGUGCACGAGGACGCCGCCCGCCGACUUGCCCGCGAUGAAGACCAGCCCAGGUUGACGAGCUCGGACAGUGUGGGGCAGAGGAGGACCGCGGCUGCGUCGUUGAUGGCGGCUGGCAGGUGGUGCUCCGAGGCGAGCGGUAGUCGGCGGAGAGGACGAGCGUGCUCGCCCCCGCCGCGAGCCUGCUGCAGGCUACGUGGUUCCCGGCCACCCGGGAUGGAGAAGAAGAAGCCCGGUCGCGCGGGAUGGAGAAGAAGAAGCAAGGGCAUCGAUGGUCAUUUGCCCUCUCAUGCACUUCUACUGUUACAGGAAAUUCUUUGUUGCAAACAUUCUUGAUAAUAAAAAGGUCUCAGUUUAUUCAUGUGUAUUGAUUUGCUGCAUUUUUUCUUUGUGUACUAGAAGUCAACAGACUAGCUGCUAAUCUUCAAUCAUACUUGGAGCAAAGGGGAGCAAAGCUACCUGAAGGGCAUAUAAUUGGAAGAGUUGUACCUGAAGGCGGAAAUCCUUUGGUAGCUCACCGGUUCAAAUAUUGUAUUCUUUCCACGAUUAUCGAGCUGAGGGGGCUUCAUCUUCAGAAUGGAAAGAGAUUUCUGUGAAGCAAUACGCAUAGAUUGUUUUCCAGCCAUUGCACUCCAAAAAAGUUUGGAAAUUCAAGCUGUCGCAAGCAGAAAUCUUAAGCUGCCGCUUUUCUGGUAUACUUUAUACUUCCUUUUCACUGUAACUCACUGAAAUUAUGCUUUUCUGUUUCCACCUGUAAAUCUGUAAUUAUGUGUGAUAAUGUGGAGGAUAGUGACUUGGAGCGACGCCUCACUGAAUAAGCUUCGAAUUUUUGCCUGAUUCUAUUUAUUCUGGUCAUCUGGUGUUGUGGGGGACCUGAUUGAUCAAGAAUGAGCAGGUUGGUUGCUGGUGCCUGGUGGGGGAGGUUGUCGGCGAUAUUAAAUACUCUGGUUGCCCAUAUGAGCAUGUUUGUGAUCAUACAGAUAUUUCUGUUAAUUUAUGAGAAGCACUUAGGAGUGUUGAUUGAUUCAUCAUUUCCAAUCUUUAUUUGACCUACAAGUUAUUUGCUAUGAAUGAUCCUUUAUAGAGACUCUCUGAACUUUGAUAGACAGAGGAAGAGGAACAAGCAGAAUCAGAUGACUGAAGAAGCAUGUUGCGUGAACAGGAACUGAUCAAAAGUAUCGCCACAUUCUGAUAGCAAUAUUCACCUUUCAUCAAUCUACUAUAACUUGGAUUUUUCAUAUUUUUCUUCCUAUACGAUUAACCAUUUUUAUGUCACAUUUCAGAUGAACCUCUCUCAAUUACAGAUUUACAUUUAUUGGGAUGGGACUGGGUCACUGAGCACAGGAGAGUUAUCCUGGUUAUUUUCUAGCCAUUACUGGACUGCUUCUUCUAUGUCUGGGCUUCCGAACAUCGGAGUUUGGAGUAUACAAUUAUAACAUAGCCUACUAUGAUGCCAGGUAUGUAAAGGUGGCUAUUGGAGAAUUUCUAAGGGUUGUUCAACAGCAGCUUGCCCCUGAGUUCUGUGAAGUACGAACAACAUCAGUUGAGAACCUACUUUAUGUGAAGAAGAUCUUAUCUCUACAAAGCCACUCAGGAAAACAUGGGAGCAAAGCUAUACAUGGGGCCAACAUCAAUUUUGUUGGCUUUCUCAGUGACCUUUCGAGAGGAUUAAUUCCACUAGAUGAUUGGCAUCACAAAUCACUGGUUUAGGAGAAUCAUACUGUAAUUUGGAUGCCGGGACAAUAAGGUGCAGUGAUGAGUACACGAAUGUGAAUUAGCCUACUUUAGACGUCACCUUGGUAUGCCACUUUCUGUGCUUGCAGGUUCUGACCAUUCAGUUUAUCUAUCUUGUGCCGAUUGAUUGGAUACGUGGGAUGUAAUACCUGCUCAUCUCAUAUCAGCUCAUUGUCCCCAUGAAACUUUGGUGAAUUCUGUAAUUACUGUUAUGUGCUUGUAAUCAUUUCAUUUUGCCAUGAGUACAAAUGGAUGCUUUAUGUCCCUUUGGUACAUGCUUGCUUUAUGAUAUAACUGAUGCAGCUAACUUUUCUUUUUGCAGUUAUGUCAUGGCCAUUGGUGAAGCAGAGGCUUUUUUAGAAAUAAUGUAGCAUGAACUCUAGAUGGGGAAAAGUACUUAACUAUUUGUAUACAUUCAAAAAUUUAUACUGAUCAAUUUCAGUCUUUUAGGAAAAUAGAAAGCUCUUAGGAUAA